rnacentral:rRNA from 1 species
UGCCAGCAGCCGCGGUAAUACGUAGGGUGCAAGCGUUAAUCGGAAUUACUGGGCGUAAAGCGUGCGCAGGCGGUUCGGAAAGAAAGGUGUGAAAUCCCAGGGCUUAACCUUGGAACUGCACUUUUAACUACCGGGCUAGAGUAUGUCAGAGGGGGGUAGAAUUCCACGUGUAGCAGUGAAAUGCGUAGAGAUGUGGAGGAAUACCGAUGGCGAAGGCAGCCCCCUG